rnacentral:rRNA from 1 species
UACGUAGGGUGCGAGCGUUGUCCGGAAUUAUUGGGCGUAAAGGGCUCGUAGGCGGUUUGUCGCGUCGGGAGUGAAAACCUCGGGCUUAACUCGGGGCUUGCUUUCGAUACGGGCAGACUAGAGGUAUGCAGGGGAGAACGGAAUUCCUGGUGUAGCGGUGAAAUGCGCAGAUAUCAGGAGGAACACCGGUGGCGAAGGCGGUUCUCUGGGCAUGAACUGACGCUGAGGAGCGAAAGUGUGGGGAGCGAACAGG